rnacentral:rRNA from 1 species
GACGAACGCUGGCGGCGUGCUUAACACAUGCAAGUCGAACGGUGAAGGGACCGGUUUUUGCUGGUUCUGGAUGAGUGGCGAACGGGUGAGUAACACGUGAGUAACCUGCCCCCUUCUUCUGGAUAACCGCAUGAAAGUGUGGCUAAUACGGGAUAUUCUGCGCCUGCUGCAUGGUGGGUGUGGGAAAGAUAUUGUUUCGGUGGGGGAUGGGCUCGCGGCCUAUCAGCUUGGUGGUGGGGUGAUGGCCUACCAAGGCGGUGACGGGUAGCCGGCCUGAGAGGGUGGACGGUCACACUGGGACUGAGACACGGCCCAGACUCCUACGGGAGGCAGCAGUGGAGAAUAGUGCACAAUGGGCGCAAGCCUGAUGCAGCGACGCCGCGUGAGGGAUGGAGGCCUGCGGGUUGUAAACCUCUUUCGCCAGUGAAGCAGGCCUGUCCAUUGUGUGGGUGGGUUGACGGUAGCUGGAUAAGAAGCGCCGGCUAACUACGUG